UCAUAAUUGCGAACACUAGGCAUUAGUU
rnacentral:piRNA from 1 species